UGGACACUCCAGAGGAAUGCAGAGCAAUGCAAGCCUCAGUCUGGAACCACCUGAGACAUUUCCAUCCCCAGGUGCGACUUUUAGGAUACAGACUUCAGCUGUUGAGAUAGUAAAAUGUUCAGUUGAUAGAUAAGGACAUGACAUAUCUUGGCUGAGGAUCUGGCUCACAAAUACAACUGGGACACAAGAUGAUUACCUUCUGGACAUUUUUGUACUUUAUCCCUGCGUAAUUUGGAGAAUUUGAAAUCUACAUGAGAUACUUGAUUCCUUGUUGUCUUACAGCAGUAGACUGGGAAUAUUUCCACUGAAAUAUCACAGAAGUAACUACUCAUGUAAUUUAUUGUCUGUAAAGGGAGUGUCAGAGACAAAUUAUCUUUAAAAGAAACUUACUGUGAUAUUAGGCAAUGUGUAAUUCUCUUUAAAACAACAAAAAAUCCUUUAGCUAACUGAAGAUUACCAUUUGAAAAAGACAAUGAAUACUGUCAUUCAUUUUUUAAAGAAGUUGGAAAGCUAACAAACAAAAAAGAAAACAAAACAUUUUGAAGCUAGAAAAAUAACCGAAGAGGUAUACUACUUGACAUCCAUAAAUUAUUAAGUAAUAGUACUGAUAAUGGUUCUUGCCAUAAAUAAUAUACUCAUACAAAAAGUUCGGUCCCGUCAAUUUCCUUCCCAACAUCCCUCCCCAACUUUUUUAUGUUGACCUAUGAUAAAACUAUGUUUGAUAGUACUUCUCUUCAGGAGCUUUCAAGUUGUAACUACGGUUAUGUACUGUGGACCUCGUGGUGGUACACAUGUAUGGGUUUGUGAACAAACCCAUACAAAAUGCAGGUCUUGGGCCAGGGGAAAAUGUUUCUUAAGCAGGAAACUGGAGCUGGCGACCAGUUUCAAAUAUAUGUAUUCACAAUAACUCAUACUGAAACUGAUAUUCAGUAUCAAAUCCUGGCCCUCUGAUGCCAAAACUCAGUGUAAAAUAUUUUGCUAAAAUAAAAGACAUUUGGUUUUCAAGUAAACAUAUAUGCUUCUUCACCUCAAGCUAAGAUGUCUUUUGGUAUGGAUUCUAGUCAUGGUUUUUGUCAACAAGGAAGAUAUUAGCUGCCAUCAAUAUAUUUGACUGAUGCCAGUGGACCAUACUGAGGACCUGGACUAGAUUUACUAGCUUGCUUGUAAACACAGACACUGGUGCUGAGAGUAACAGAAACAGCUGAAGAGAUUAGGCUACCAGUUUUGGUGAAGCAGUUCUUUACUGCAACUUCUCUGUAUGCUGCAAGCUCCAGGAAGCAACAAAGAGGAGUUAAAAGCAGUUUUAACAACAUCUGGUGCCUUCUUAAAUCCAAGCUGCCUUUCUCUGCCAGCAAUAAUUAUCUGCUUCAUGGAAAAACAUGACCAAUAUGAAGAAUUGUUAUUCAUAUUGCAAGCAGAUUGCUAGACAGAUAACACAUCAUGAUAAUGAUGAUGACGAUAAUGAUAUAUAAAUGUUAUACACACUGCAUUCCUAUUACAUUCCUGCUUUGAAUAUAGCCCUGCA